GGUGGUUCGGACUUUUUUAUAAAAUAACUUUUUAAAAACAGUGAAUUAUUCAUCGCUUUCAUAAAUAAAAAAUCUAUUUUUUUUCUAUAAUUCUAACAACCACAUAAAUAUUUCAAUAAAUCACAUAUAAUCUUACUAACUUGAAAAUUCUAAUAAUCUAUCCAUACAAUCCUAACAAUAAAAAAAAUCUUAAUAAUUUAUCCAUACAAUCGUAAUAAUCAAACAUCACAUAUAACCUUAACAAAUUGAAAAUCCUAAUAAUAUAUCCAUAUAAUCCUAACAAUAAAAAAUUUUUAGUAAUCUAUUCAUAUAAUUCUAACAAUCAAAUAAAAAUUCUAAUAUUCCACACACAAUCCUAACAAUCUCACUUUUUUAUUUUCCGUAUAAUCUACGUAUAAUUUUAACAACCUUAUAUUUUUUCUCUUUCCCAAAAAAUUAUAAAAAAGACGGCGAAUCUUUAAAAGACCUUAAAGACGGUGAAUCAUUCACCGCUUUUUGAGAGUUAAUUUGCCAAAUAUAAAUUCGAUAGGAUUAUCUCACAAAUUAUAAAAUUUUAGAUGAUUAUUUUGUAAAAAAAAGUCUCAGGUUUUCAGUGCAUAUGCAUAAAUGAUCUCUGUCUUUCUCUAUCUCU
rnacentral:lncRNA from 1 species